rnacentral:lncRNA from 1 species
GGAAACCUUUCUCUCGAAGUCUCUUUGAUCUACGAGGCCUGGCGCGCUGUGAGCCCGAGUGCGUGAGGGGCCCGUCGGCUGCGGGAGCCCCCUAGCUGGGACAUGAAAGGAAAAAAAAAAGGGCUGCCAGAGUACGGGGAUCGACUGAAGGGCUCAAAUAUUUCAUAUUCCUGGUAGCUGUCAAGUCCAAAAGCAACAAUUCGCCUCCCGCCGGCUGUUUGCAGAGGGCAGCGGAGUGUGUGCGCGCGAGGGGCCGGAGCGCACCGUGCACCGCGGCCGGGAAGGGGGAAGAGGGCCGUAAAUUUGCACUUGUAAUCAAUCAAUAAUUAACUAAUAACAGAGCGUGGGCCGAGCGGGCCCGGCAGGACGGCGACAGGAGCGGCCGGGCCCCGUGAAGGUGGCUCCCGUGCCUCUCCUAUCACUCCACACCCCCAUCCCCGAGCUGCUCCGGUCCCACUGCCCCUCUCCGGGGCCGGCCCGACCGCCCCAGCGCCGCUUUCCCAUAGACUUUGUACCAGCGGCCAAAAUUCCCCUGGGUAAAACCCGGCAAAACCUGCCACGAGCUCCGCUGCCCGACGAGGGAGGGAGGGCACUUUUUCCCUCUCCGCUCCCCAUUUCCCCACGAGACACCCAUCCCCGGUGGAUGUCCCCGCGUUCCCCACCCAGGGUCCCCUCGGGGCCGCCCCGCACUGCCCCAGCUGCCCAAGAGAUGGCGCCGCCGCCUCGCUGGACCCCCCCGGCGCCGAGCCCCCACCCCCCCAGCGCCGGGUCGCCUGCAUCAGCCAUAAAACCAUUGAGGAUAUCAAGACAGGCGCCAGGACCCAGAGGCAGCAGGCCGAGGAGCAGGCAGAGCAUAAAACAGGAUCCGGGCUGGAAGUACAUCCUUAUAAUAUUUAUUACUGGCGGAGGAUGAAUCACUUUCCAAUAUACGGGCCACUAACUGUUGAAGGGGGGGAAAUCUCUUUAACGAGGAGGAAUAUAUAUGUUGUGCUUAGGGAUGUGCUCACGGGCUGGCAGCGCUGCAGGCAGGGGCUGCCAGCUCCUUGCUCUGCUCCCGGUGACCGCCCAGCCCACGUCUGCCCCCAGCACCACGCCGCUCCACAGCUUAUUCUCAGCGUCUCCUCAGCCCCACAGCACAAAGGGGGGAACCCUACGAGGACCCCCUCCAGCCCCCCGGCCGGGUGCUGACUGGAAGGAUCCAUCCCGUGCCCGGACAGCGCCAUAACCUCAGCGGUUCGGGAACUCUUUACCUGGAAACUUUUGAGGGGAGGAUUCUGCAUUAAAUUUUAACCGAUCUAUUCUCCGAUUCUUCACUUUUGCUUUAUUAAUUUAUGACAGAUAAAAGCAUCGCUGAGCCGUUCUCAUUAACUUUUCAAACGCCACUUAAUCUCGUUCCAUUAAAAGAGGUGACUUAGUACCCUCUGGAUCCGCUUUAAAAG